rnacentral:rRNA from 1 species
ACGUAGUAAAGUGGAAUAGUUAUAUGAUUGUAGUGAUGAAAUGUCAGACGAGCAAAUUUUAUCUGGUUACUUUUGAAAUAAAUUUAAUUUAGCUGUAAAAAAAAAUUUUUUUGCUAGAUAUCUACAGGGGGAAGAGCUUCUGUAGUAGUUUUAUAUAGUAAGUGAAUGUUUUCAUCUUAAGACUAGGCUUAAGAUCAGCCUUGUUUCCAGCGCGUUUUAGUGGAUAGGAUGGGUGUUUUUGUUUUAUAUCUUGCUUAUAAAUUUAUUAAAAAGUUAAUUUUUAAAAUAUGAAAAUAAAUGAAGAAAUGGUUGUAUAAGUAUAUUUUAUUGUGAGGUUUACGAAAUAAAAUUUUGUUUGCUGUUAAGAUGAAUAAUAUAAAAUUAAGGAAUUCGACAACUUUUGUUUUCGCCUGUUUAUCAAAAACAUGUCCAUAUGAAUUAAGUAUAUGGUUCGGCCUGCCCACUGAGCGUUUAAAGGGCCGCGGUAUCUGAACCGUGCUAAGGUAGCAUAAUCAAUAGUCCUUUAAUUGAGGUCUUGAAUGAAUGGUUAGACGAAAAACUAAUUGUCUUAAGUUUAAAAAUUGAAUUUUACCUUUAAGUGAAAAGGCUUAAAUUGUUAGUGGGACGAUAAGACCCUAUGAAGCUUUACAAUAUUUUCUUGAAUUAUUUUAAUUUUUUGUAGUAAGAUUUAAAUGAAAUAUUUGUUUUGCUGGGGCGGCUGGAAUAUAAGUUUAACUGUUCAUAAAGAAAAUAGUUAUAGUUAUAAUGUUUGAUCCUUCAUUUGAGGAUAAAGAGAUUUAAGUUACUCUAGGGAUAACAGCGUAA